CCCAGACUCCUACGGGAGGCAGCAGUGGGGAAUAUUGGGCAAUGGGCGCAAGCCUGACCCAGCAACGCCGCGUGAAGGAAGAAGGCUUUCGGGUUGUAAACUUCUUUUCUCAGGGACGAAGAAAGUGACGGUACCUGAGGAAUAAGCCACGGCUAACUACGUGCCAGCAGCCGCGGUAAUACGGAGGAUGCGAGCGUUAUCCGGAUUUAUUGGGUUUAAAGGGUGCGUAGGCGGGCUGUUAAGUCAGCGGUAAAAUGUCGGGGCCCAACCCCGGCCUGCCGUUGAAACUGGCGGCCUCGAGUGGGCGAGAAGUAUGCGGAAUGCGUGGUGUAGCGGUGAAAUGCAUAGAUAUCACGCAGAACUCCGAUUGCGAAGGCAGCAUACCGGCGCCCUACUGACGCUGAGGCACGAAAGCGUGGGGAUCGAACAGGAUUAGAUACCCCGGUAAAA
rnacentral:rRNA from 1 species